rnacentral:rRNA from 1 species
UAGAGUUUGAUCCUGGCUCAGGACGAACGCUGGCGGCGUGCCUAAUACAUGCAAGUCGAACGCUUCUUUCCUCCCGAGUGCUUGCACUCAAUUGGAAAGAGGAGUGGCGGACGGGUGAGUAACACGUGGGUAACCUACCCAUCAGAGGGGGAUAACACUUGGAAACAGGUGCUAAUACCGCAUAACAGUUUAUGCCGCAUGGCAUAAGAGUGAAAGGCGCUUUCGGGUGUCGCUGAUGGAUGGACCCGCGGUGCAUUAGCUAGUUGGUGAGGUAACGGCUCACCAAGGCCACGAUGCAUAGCCGACCUGAGAGGGUGAUCGGCCACACUGGGACUGAGACACGGCCCAGACUCCUACGGGAGGCAGCAGUAGGGAAUCUUCGGCAAUGGACGAAAGUCUGACCGAGCAACGCCGCGUGAGUGAAGAAGGUUUUCGGAUCGUAAAACUCUGUUGUUAGAGAAGAACAAGGACGUUAGUAACUGAACGUCCCCUGACGGUAUCUAACCAGAAAGCCACGGCUAACUACGUGCCAGCAGCCGCGGUAAU